rnacentral:rRNA from 1 species
UCAUUACACAACAAAAAUAUGAGGGUGUGGUUUGCUGGCAACAGCGUCCGCCCCAAGUAUUUUUCACCCAUGUCUUUUGCGCACUUUUUGUUUCCUGGGCGAGUUCGCUCGCCACCAGGACCCAACCAUAAACCUUUUUUUAUGCAGUUGCAAUCAGCGUCAGUAUAAUAAUUCAAUUUAUUAAAACUUUCAACAACGGAUCUCUUGGUUCUGGCAUCGAUGAAGAACGCAGCGAAAUGCGAUACGUAGUGUGAAUUGCAGAAUUCAGUGAAUCAUCGAAUCUUUGAACGCACAUUGCGCCCUUUGGUAUUCCAAAGGGCAUGCCUGUUCGAGCGUCAUUUGUACCCUCAAGCUUUGCUUGGUGUUGGGCGUCUUUUUGUCUCUCCCCUUGUUGGGGGAGACUCGCCUUAAAACGAUUGGCAGCCGACCUACUGGUUUUCGGAGCGCAGCACAAAUUUGCGCCUUCCAAUCCACGGGGCGGCAUCCAGCAAGCCUUUGUUUUCUAUAACAAAUCCACAUUUUGACCUCGGAUCAGGUAGGGAUACCCGCUGAACUUAAGCAUAU